CGCACGGGUGAGUAACACGUAUGGAACCUGCCCUAUGCAGGGGGAUAAGCGGAAGAAAUUCCGUCUAAUACCGCAUAACACCUUUAGGAGACAUCUUCUUGGGGCCAAAGGAGGCGACUCCGGCAUAGGAUGGCCAUGCGUCGCAUUAGCUAGUCGGCGGGGUAACGGCCCACCGAGGCGACGAUGCGUAGGGGUUCUGAGAGGAAGGUCCCCCACACUGGUACUGAGACACGGACCAGACUCCUACGGGAGGCAGCAG
rnacentral:rRNA from 1 species